rnacentral:lncRNA from 1 species
AUCAAACCUGGACCGGACAGGGGGCGGCACGCGCAGGAGCACACUCACUGGGAAGGGUGAGGCGCCUCCGUGACACCACCGGUUCCGUACACCUAAGGAGGAACUCCCCGGCCUGCUGGGCCCUGAGGGGUCCGGGUGAGCAGCCAAGGCCCCUGUCCUCAUGCAGGGUUCUGGGAGACACUGGGAUCCGUAUGUAUAAAUAGGGGUGCUUUUCUGUUCCACAGAAGACAGGAACUGCCUGCGGUGCGUGAGGAAGCUGCCUCUGAUGUGGCCCUAGCCGUCGCACCCAGCCGUGGGGCAGGACAUGCCUUCCGUCCUGACCGACUUCCAGGAGAACUGGGAGCCAUUCAGGACGCUGGAGUCCCUGCUGUGGAUCUCCUGGGCCCAGCACCACAAGAAGCUCUCACCACGGGAACACACAGUCCCUGUGCCAAGCCAAGCAUAUUCAUGCAAGAACUGAAAAGAAAACAGUCAAGCUCUUCCUGACCCGACCUUUCCUGGAGGGACGUUGCGGACUGAGGAAGAGUCUCUCCACCCCUAGCUCAAGCAAAAAGCCCUGGGACUUUCAAAGAAUCUUAGUGACAGAAGGAAUUUUGAGGUUUCACUGAAGCUUCUCAUUUUCCAGGUAACGCCAGUGACUUGCCCCAAGUCACGCUGCCAAUCUGGGUGGGAACUCUGGUCUGUGGGUUCCAGCUCAUGCUCCAUCCCACUCAAGGAAGCUCCUUGAAGGUCGGUGCUAUGGACUGAAUUGUGUCCCCUGAAAUGUAUGUGUUGAAGCCCUAACCCUUAAUGUGACUGUAUUUGGAAAUAUGGUCUUUAGGAGGGAAUUAAGGUUAAACAAACUUGCAAGGAUGGGGCCCUAAUCCAUUAGAACUGUGGCCUUAUAAGAACAGGGAAAGAUCUCUUGCUGGAUCUCUCUUUCUCCCUUUCUCCCUCUCUCUCCCUCUUCUUUUUUCCCUCUCUCUCUCCCUUUCUCCCUCUCCUUCUCCCUCUCUUUCUCCCUUUUCCCCAUUCCAUGUGAGCACACAGUAAGAAGGCAGUGAUCUGCAAACCAGGAAGAGAGCUCUCACCCUGCUGGCACUCUGAUCUUCAGCUUCCAGCCUCCAGGACUAUGAGAAAUAAAUAUCUGUUAUUUAAGGCACCCAGUCCAUGGUAUUUUGAUAUGGCAGCUGGAGCAGACGAAGACAGUCUGGCUUUGAGCUCAUCACACUCUCAUUCAG